rnacentral:tRNA from 1 species
GCCCCCUUAGCUCAGCGGUAGAGCAACUGAUUUGUAAUCAGUAGGUCGGCGGUUCGAAUCCGUCAGGGGGCUCUA